rnacentral:pre_miRNA from 1 species
AAACUACUCCCUCCGUUCGGAAUUACUUGUCUUGGAAAUGGAUGUAUCUAGAACUAAAAUAUGUCUAGAUACAUCCAUUUCUGCGACAAGUAAUUCCGAACGGAAGGAGUACAUG